rnacentral:tRNA from 1 species
GCGCCCGUAGCUCAGUUGGAUAGAGCGUCGGACUUCGAAUCCGAAGGUCGCAGGUUCGAUCCCUGCCGGGCGCA